rnacentral:lncRNA from 1 species
CCAGAAAGCCUACCAAGAACCAUUGUUUUUGUAGUUUUGCAUUUCCGUUUCCGACAUGACAAUAAAAACUGAAAGUUCGAAUAAACCAGACGCGAUUUUUGAAGACUGUUAAACAUUUAAGCGCCAUCCGGAAUCAAGUUAUUAUUUUGUUGUUGUUAUAGAAAGAAAACUGCAGAAGAAACCUUCAAACGGAUGUCGUUUGACCUUUGACGAAUGUUAAGAGAAUACGGAAGUCUUGGGGCAGUACGACAUUUCCCGCUUCCUGAUCUGGCUCUCUUCCUAUGCUGAUGAUGCAAUUUCUUAUCCAUUACCAGCCUUUAUCGAAUUUUCGGUGCAUCGCGUCACCCGGAUUUUCUCGGAGGUGGAUCAGAAAUAGAACGUGCAAGAGGAUGUCCUAUUCAGGUGUGACGGUUAAUAUUAGAAAUUGCCAUAUUAAGCCACCACCUGGGCCGAAAAUAUUUUUAUUUUUCAGAAAUUUUUACUUUAUUUUUAUGGCGUUAAACCGAAGAAGAGAAAUGGGGAAAGGGCAUGGCAACUUUUAGAUAGAGGUCACACACAAUUCUUCCCACAUAAAAGGGGUUGAAGACAAGUUUGUUGUGAUUCCGGUAGACCGUAUAUAACAGGAAGAGUUCGUACUAACCUGUAAACCCUGAUCGUCGAGUGGCAAUGCACUGCAAUGACCAGGCCCUAAGGAGAUAAUACAUACGAUGGAAAAAUAUCUUUCCCGCUAUUUGGAAAGACGAAAAUCUUCCGAUUAUUGUGUGUGAUAUUGGAGGAGAAUUUCCCAAUUACCGUAUUUUACCGAGUCCAAGCGCAAUUUGUUUUAAUUUUUGUAGCUUCAGACGAAAACACUUUUACAGAUAAAAUAGUUUGGUUUCUUCCUUAUUUUUUGAAUGCCCAAGUAAAAUGUAGAUUUUCUUCUAUAAGUUAAUCAUUUCGGUUAAUUUUGGCUGGCUAUUAAAAGGUAUGGUAUCCUUUCACUGAUGAAGUAAAUAGCCCGAGGCAAAAACGGAGUUAGGUGAGGUCAGGGCAAAGCGUCUAUCCAAGUAAUAUUUGACCUAUCAACAGGAAAUACCUCUCUUUAUCUUCUCUUCCUCCAAUCUCCGUAUUUAUAUUCGAUGCCCGAAACUUCAAUUUUAAAUACAACCUAUGUCUUUCUAUUUAAUUUAGAGACACGGUUUUACCUUUAUUGCUUUUUUAUGCGCGAGUUUAUGGGGUUAAGAGUGUACUACGGUAUAAUAUGCCAUUGGCACGCACCGUAAUGUUUUCCCAUACUGGAGAACACCAGUGAAAAAUUUGACCGUUUUAAAAUUGUGCCUGCCAAACCCGCGCACCAAUUUCGAAAAGAGAAGGGGAAAAACUAUAGUGUGCCUUUUCUUUAGCCUUUGCUGGUCUUAAACUACUUACGGGUUAUUUUUAAGUCUAAACCUGUGUCGAUCUUUCUAGAAGAAAACGCCGGACAUUCUUUAGCCUAUCGUUUUGAUUAUCCAGGACAAGAGCUCGAGAAGACUGCUGGACGUGGGGUCAAACUCCCACGUGCUGCUAAAUGUAUGUCAGCUAUCACGUGCAUCACUCUUAUCGUAAACUGUUUCGGCCGCCAUAAUAACAUAUCAAACGACGAAAUUAAAUUAGAAAAAGGUCACUUUUUUAUAACGAAACGUUAGUCUAUGUUUAGCCAAUUAAUGGUGGCUAUACCACGCUUUCGUGAGCAAAUUAUUGGCAGGAAAACCAGCCGAAGCAUUCCCACGAAUAAAUUCAAUUGUCUACCAGAGUUAUUUUAAGGAUUAGAAGACUAUAAUCUACCUUGUAGCCUAACAAUUAACUUACUACUGCAAAAAUGUAAUAAUAAAACGAAAAAGAAUCGUAUGGUGUCGCCAUCUAGAGGAAAGUAUACAACAGAAAACCAUGAUUAUCACCUAAACUAGAAUAUUGAGUUGCUGUUUUGGUUAACUUCGUGGCUAAUAACAAAACAAUCCAUGAUCUGUUACCAAUAAAUCUGCUAGUACAGGCGGGAAAAAUUGUCAGAAAAGAAUAAAUCGACAGAUGUAGAAAAUAAAAUCGUCUUUGUUUCAUAUAGAGAUAAAAAUAUCUUUGGGAGCCAUCUACCGAAUACGUCAUACUACUAGGGGAGAGAGGAUAUGAUAGAUUUAUCACCAUAAAUGCUCAGCAACAUUGAAACGUC